rfam:Triticum aestivum genome assembly, contig: Triticum_aestivum_CS42_TGACv1_scaffold_471016_6AL
AAAGUACUCCCUCCGUCCCAAAAUUCUUGUCUUAGAUUUGUCUAGAUACGAAUGUAUCAAGUCACAUUUUUGUAUUAGAUGCAUCUGUAUCUAGACAAAUCUAAGACAAGAAAUUUGGGACAGAGGGAGUAGUUG